GUGGGGUGUGGGUCUGAUAGGGAAGAUGAGGUACUUCCUGUGGGAGAGAUUUAGGAGCAUCAAGAACCAAAAUUAUCUCAGCUACCAUGGAGUGAGGCGGAUACAGUUUGCAGAGCCAUCCUGUAUCUUCACUAGUACUUUCAUGAAGAGAGAGCAAAGGAGGGAAGCCCUUCAGCCCCAAAAGAAUGUGUCUCCCAAGGGGGUUGGCCAUGACUGCUUCUUGUGCAAAAGUGGUGACAUUUGUGGUUAGUCACAGAAGCAAACAUGUCUAUGGCUAGUAGACUCCACCGUUUUACUAUUGGUGGGAAAAUGGUGUCAUGAAGGGACAAUUUGUGGGGGUUUGUUAUCAAUCAGAUGAAGGAAUGUGGUGGAGGUAAGAAGACUGAGGAGCUGUAUGAUUAGUCUCUCUGGAACCAAUGUUAUGAAUCAGAUCUGAGCAAUAAGGAUGAAGAUGGGUCUCCUCCUCCCCACCUCCUCCAUGGGAGGAAUGUCUGAGCAGAUUUGGAAUCAAGGCUGGGUGGAUGUACAGAAGGAUCUGAGAGAGGAAAAGGUGGGACUCUUGGCAUUCAGCUGAAUGCCUAGAUCUCAAGAAAAGAGAGUGUGUAUGAUGAAUGGAUUGAAUGAAUUGUAGGUUUGAGGUCUGGCAAGGCUGAAAACACCAUCCUAAAAAUGAAACCUGGAAAACUGCAUUAUGGAGAACAAACGAGGUGAAUAAUUUUAUGAACAGUGGUAUGAAAAGUGCUAAUGAAAAAACUGCUGAACUAACCUGAGAACUUUAGGGUGUAAAUAACCGAUGCUUACAUAGUCAAAGAUAAUGACAUUUUAAGAAAGAAACUAAACAACCUAUCUGUUCUGGCUCCAGGAGGUCUGAGCUGAAUGACAGAGGUUAUCUGAACAACCAAAUAAUGGAUAACCAAAAUCGCUACAUAAGGAGACCCUCCUCUGCCUUAUUGUGUUUGUGCCAGAUUUGCAGAGAUGCAGCGCUGUCCACCUGCCUCCUUCCUCCCAACAUGUUUGAUCAACUGAAUUGAGAGGGGAUGGUGUAUAUGAAUGAUGAAAGUAUAUGAGUGAAUGUUGGAGUAUAUGUGAUGUUUCCCCUUUGUCUGUGUAACCAAUAUUAUAAAACCUAAGAAAGGUAACCAAAGGUAAGUACUAUGCCAAGCAAGCCUAUUCUUCAGGGCUCAUCAACCUUAGCAAAUGGAUCAAGAAUUUACCCCCUGAUUUUCCCUGAGAAAAAGAAACAUUCAUGGGUAUUAUGUGUGGAUCCUUCUGUCCACAUGAGGUGCAGCAGUUGAAUAUGGCCUUCAAGACAAUUAAAGAUAGCAGGAAAAGUUGGUGGCCAGGGGGAAGAGAUGGAAGUGUUAUAUGAAAAGUGAAACAGAAAGUAGCUACUCAAUAUCUAAAAAGAAUUGCACAAUGGGGAAAAUAAACUGGAAGAACCAGCUUUCAGUGCUAUAUAUAUAUAGUGCCACUUUGGAAGGGCAGAGCUACUACCAAAAAGCUGCUCAGCUUUGGAACAUUCCUUGGAUGGAUUUGUGAAUGUGUGGCAUUCAAAUCUGUGAAGCACAGAGACCAUGAAACAGAAAAUUGCACUUGACAAAGCUCCCCAUCAUGCUUUUGCAUAGUUCUAAAAGAAAUUACCCUAUGAGAGACAAGUUAAUGUUGGAAACUGUUCAUUGAAUUGAAGCGUACAGGUGUUAAAUGAAGAAAAGUGUGUUACAGAAAAGUGUUAAACUGCAUUAGUGUAUUUUUGAUACAUGAGGAUUAAAAUGGCUCUAAAGGGAUUGGAGUUUUCAGAUCUCUGGUCUAGAUCCUGAGCCUUCAUUUUUAUGUUAUUUCCUGGCAGAAGACAAGCAUGUAACUUCUCCAGUUUUAGUAGGUUCUGCUCCAGGCAAGAGGAAAGGCUAUCUGCAAAUCUCCAACUCCAACAUCAGCUUUGCUCCUAUGUAUUUAUCUCAUUGGCUUUACUUUCCCCUUCUAGUCAUUGCUGUACCAGACUUACCCUCUGCUUGCUUUGUCUUCUGUCUAGAACCAAGUCCCUUUUCCUGUCUUCCAAAGUAAGUGAUAAGGAAUACUUUCAUUUCACCUUGAUCUGGGAACAAUCCCCUCGGCCUUUCAACACAGUCAUGUAACCCAGAAUAUCAAGGCAGAAAAUCCCACAAUAUCUGCUUUGAACUGGGUUAUCCGAGUCCAUACUGUCAUAUAGUCCAAUUCAAAGCAGAUAAUGUGGGAUUUUAUUCAGCUGUGUGGAAGGGACCUCAGUUAAAACUUCGGCCAUCAUUUCCAAAUAGGAGAAUAUGUUAUUCUCUCUCCUUCCCUCCCUCCCUCCCUCUGUGUGUGUGUGUACUUGAAUGACAAAGUUUAAGCAACUAUGGUUAGAACUUAUUAUGUAUAAAACUUCUGGGUUUAUCCCUAAGUUUCAAGGUUUGGCCCAGAAACCUUAGAGCUCAGGAGGAUCUUGAAAUGGCAACUCUAAAAGACAAAGCAAAACACUUGUUUACAUUAGCAUUAAUGUGUGAGAGAAAACAAGAGAUGACAUAUGACACCUGUAACAAAUUUACUGUGGCGUAAGCUUUUAUAAACUACAAAGGGCUUAAAUCUGAUAACUUGACUAGAAUAAAACCACUGAAACAAUGGGUGUUGAUUCAAAAUUCAACCACUGAUUGGAUGGGACUUCUCUAGUUAGAACUAACAAACAGGAUGCUAAUGUGCUAAGAACAUGGAUAUCUGGAAGGCAAGUGGAGCAGAGCGAAGCCACAGCCUCAGUGGAGCAAAACAUACCUUUUUGCUGGGCUUGGGGCUCAAAGACCAGUUGAAUUUUGCUUUAGGUACAAAGGGAAGGAAGGAAUACCAACAGCAACCUCCAAAAAUUUUUAGUACUGCCAAAGUACCCAGAUUCUAACACAAGGAGUCACGGAAAGAAAAAAAAAUGUUCAAACUAUCACCAUCUUGCCUAUUUGUGUUUUGCAAACAAGCUCUGCAGAAAUUAUCUUCCUUCUAAUUGCAAGCAUUCAUUUAUAUUUUAUUAAGAGGGAAACUAACAAGCUGUGCCCCACAAACCUUUCUUUUCUACUCUUGAAGCAUAUAAUGAAAAGAGCUCCGUGAGAUUGUGAGAGGGAAGAGAAAAGCCAUUGGCUGCAUACCUCAAAGUUUUAAAAACUAAUUGUGAUACUAAAGGAAGCGGUAUCAAAUUAUUAUUUCUCCAAUAAAUGAUUUGAUAUCACUUAAUUAGAAAGAACUUUAACUCGUAACCUACAAUUUUAAGAACACAAUACUUUUUGUGGUUGUGACUGACUACAGCUCCUUUACAGCAUGGAGCUGCUGGGACAGAAGGUUAAAAGGCAGCGCCGUCUGCUGGCUGCAAGUCUUGACAACAAGAGAAGAAAAAUGAUUUGUGGUAAUGUAAAUGUGGGUUUUAAAGCAGGAAGCAUUUUUCUUCUCCUGUUUUCCACUCUGGAGGUACUUUUUCUUUUCAAAACCUUCUGUGUAUUUUGUCUUAUAACCCCUCCUUUUUUGUCCUCAGGGAAUGAUAUUGGAUUACAAAACCAACAUCAAAUCUUUCCCUUUCAACGUAUGUCCAGCAUUUAUAUUCCACCCUUCUCACCCCGAAGGGGACUCAGGGCAGAUCACAUUACACAUAUAGGCAAACAUUCAAUGCCUUUUAACAUGGAACAAAGACAAGACAAACAUGAACUCCGAGCGGGCCUCGAACUCAUGACCUCCUGGUCAGAGUGAUUCAUUGCAGCUGGUUGCAGCUGGCUUGCUCUCCAGCCUGUGCCACAGCCCGGGCCCAUUUGAUUCUUCUUAUAAGGGAUUAAUCUGGACUACGAUCAACAUGUCUUGAUAAUUUCAUGAUAUUAUCAUUAAUAUAUUUUUGUUUUUGUGAUGUAGCAUGGAUUUUGGUUUUUAAAUUCAUUGUUUACAUUUUGGCUGUCCUCUUUUUCCAAGGCUUUAUUUUUCUGUUUUCAAAAAUAUCAGUUUGGAUUACAAUCUGAUUAGAAAUAAGUAGAGAUUUAAGUUGAAGAUGUAACUUAAAGAUGAAACAGAAAUAAAAGAAGAAUCAAGAAAUGAUGAGUUGAACAAGAACCAAUACACUAGAAAAAGAGAAAGGGACAGAAAUAGAGAGCCCUUCAAAGCACAUCAAAAACUGUAAGGCUUUGGAAAGCAGUUGAUAUGAGUCAAGAGCCUCUUGAGGAAAUUCAAUCUUUGGGGUAUCAAGAUGAAAAGAAUGGAUGCAGAGAUAAACUCAGAAAUAAAGGAAGCAAAAGA